UUGGAGGGCAAGUCUGGUGCCAGCAGCCGCGGUAAUUCCAGCUCCAAUAGCGUAUAUUAAAGUUGUUGCAGUUAAAAAGCUCGUAGUUGAAUUUCGGGAUCAAUAUAUCGGUCGUGCCUUGGUACGUACUGGUAUCAUUGGUUUCUCCUUUCUGACGAACCAUGAUGUCAUUAAUUUGGUGUUAUGGGAAAUCAGGACUGUUACUUUGAAAAAAUUAGAGUGUUUAAAGCAGGCUUUAGCUUGAAUACAUUAGCAUGGAAUAAUGAAAUAGGACGUUUGAUCCUAUUUUGUUGGUUUCUAGGAUUGACGUAAUGAUUAAUAGGGAUAGUUGGGGGCAUUAGUAUUCAAUUGUCAGAGGUGAAAUUCUUGGAUUUAUUGAAGACUAACUACUGCGAAAGCAUUUGCCAAGGAUGUUUUCAUUAAUCAAGAACGAAAGUUAGGGGAUCGAAGACGAUCAGAUACCGUCGUAGUCUUAACCAUAAACUAUGCCGACUAGGGAUCGGAUGAUGUUAAUUUUUUAAUGACUCAUUCGGCGCCUUACGGGAAAC
rnacentral:rRNA from 1 species